rnacentral:ncRNA from 1 species
GCAAUAUGGUGCCUAUGGAGAUAUAGGAGAAUUGGGAAGCAUCGGUGAAAAUCCGACGUGACAGCCAUCACUGUAAUUGACGAUGAAAAGGGUUAUAUGCCAUUGGGAUGAUCGUAUCCUGAGAAGGCGGCCUUUUCCGGCAAAGCCGUAAGUCAUAAGCCAGGAAACCAGCCAUAUUGU